GUGUCAGCAGCCGCGGUAAUACGUAGGGUGCAAGCGUUGUCCGGAAUUAUUGGGCGUAAAGAGCUCGUAGGCGGCUUGUCGCGUCGGCUGUGAAAAUUCGGGGCUCAACUCCGAACCUGCAGUCGAUACGGGCUAGCUAGAGUCCGGUAGGGGAGACUGGAAUUCCUGGUGUAGCGGUGAAAUGCGCAGAUAUCAGGAGGAACACCGGUGGCGAAGGCGGGUCUCUGGGCCGGAACUGACGCUAAGGAGCGAAAGCGUGGGGAGCGAACAGGAUUAGAUACCCUGGUAGUCC
rnacentral:rRNA from 1 species